rnacentral:rRNA from 1 species
UACAGGGGGUGCAAACGUUGCUCGGAAUCAUUGGGCGUAAAGCGCACGUAGGCGGUCUGUUAUGUCGGAUGUGAAAGCCCUUGGCUUAACUGAGGAAGUGCAUCCGAAACUGGAUGGCUUGAAUCCGGGAGAGGGAUGCAGGAUUCCAGGUGUAGCGGUGAAAUGCGUAGAUAUCUGGAGGAAUACCGGUGGCGAAGGCGGGUAGCUGGGCCGACACUGACGCUGAGGCGCGAAAGCCAGGGGAGCGAACGGG